UCAACAAUGAUUCAGAGCAGAAGACUAAGGUCACUCCUCGGCCAGACGUGAUGACUUAAGACAAAAAUAUUUUAACUCCCUGUGAGGUGGGUUGCUUUUGUUUUGAAGUAGUUCCUCUGGCAAGCAGAAAGCAGCAAUUCAUUUGAUAUAAUAGAGAAGAAUUUGAUUUCUAACCUUAACAGACUUCUCUCUACAAGAGACAGGUACUCAGAACAAAUGCACAUCACAGCUGAUUCAGCUGGACCUGGAACAGUAAAAAAGGCAAUCCUCUCAAAAAAAGCUCAGCUUCUGGAGGCUUAAGUUCACAGGUAGCCUUCAAAAGAGUUGUACCAACUAAACUGAACACAAAAGGGGAGAAGUGUAUCACAGAAGGGACCUUUUGGAGGACACCAGUAAGCACUAGGUGAAGACACCACAAAGACUGCCACAGCCAUUUCAGCACUGCUUAUGGAUGGGAAUGACCAGCUGUGGAGGCAGUUACAUGCUGCUUCUUUUUCAGCAGCAAAGCAGGCUUGAAAAAUUGCCAGCUUUACUUACCUUCAGCUACUCAUUAUUGUCUCAUGCCACAUUUUUGCAGAAGGUUAUUUUUAGCCUGGAUUAUUUCAGUAAACUAUUUUGGGCUGGCAUUGGGCUGACAUGGAAGGGGCUGAGAAGCACAGCACAGGGAAGGGAGCUAAUAUCCACCUUUGUAAUUAGCUCCACAACCAAUACCAGAACUACCUGUAGUUAUUGAUCUUGAAGGUUACUGCUACAAGUCAUCCAAAUUCUCUGACAGUGUCUAAAAAAUACCAGCCAUAAUGAAAUUAAAAUAGUAUUAUUCAGGACACCAAAAAGAUACCAUCUAGAGCAAUAUGCAUUUCAAAACAGUACAGGACUGUCUGAUUGCAGUUUCAGUAAAUCCACUAGGUUCACACAGGAAAAUGAAAUCUCAAAAUAGCAUCUUUGAUAGCAGCAUCAACAGGCACAUCAGGAAUCAAUUUCAACUUUCAGGGCUCUCUAAAUGCUGGACAUCUUCCUCCCAUGAUUCCUAUUUAAGUGUUUCCACUUGCUUAUGUUAAGUUCUCUGCUCACUGAACCCUGCACUGAGCCAUUCCAGCAUGCUAACCCUACAGAAAAUUAACCACUUGUUUUAUUGCAUGCACUGUCUUCUGCAUUCAUGCAUACAAUGGCUCAGCAGAAGACUAGAAAAGCACUGAAGCCAAUGCAAAGGGGAGAAGAUGAGAAAACUAUCCAGGGACUUUUUUCCCCCCGGAUAAAGGGAACACAGAAACUACAGAAAGUCUGGCUACCUGUGAACACACCCAGGUGAGUUUGAACACACUGCUGAAAGGAAAUGACACCAUAGGAAAAGAAUGCAGGAGGCACCCAGGAGGUCUCAAACCUCCCAAGCCCUUCAUCUUAGCCUGAGACCAGCUCUACAAAAGGGUAGGUAUAUGUGUAAAUUUGCUCACUCUCUCCUCAUCCACCAUUUUGAGAUCAUGUAGCUUCAAAUAGGAAGGUUGAUGUGCAAAGCCAAACGAACUUGCCAAGUGCCAGGCAUUUCUUAGAAGAGGCUGACAGAGAAGCAGGAGAGGCAGGAGGAAAGAAAUAGUUUCUUGCAUCUGAUUCUGAAAUAAUGACCUGCAGGAAAAAAGCCCCUAGCAGCAUUCACUGAUGGCAGUGCAGGAAGUGACCAUCUUUGACACUUCCACUGGGUCUCUGCCAAAGGAUUCACCUUCAUUCCAAAACAGAACAAAUACAGUGGGUGUUUCAGAGCCCUCAUUGGGCCUAGAAACACAGAUCAGGUCACUUGCAUAUAGGGAAGUUGCUAAUUAUACAUCAUAGUCUUACAGCUGUCAACUUUGUAAGACAGGGGCAGCAUCCAGUUCAACAGAGCAGCUAGGGGCUGAUGCAUCUGGCCAUCUAGUAACACCUAUGAUCCUUGAUGACAGAGAAUCCUUCUCUAGGCCAAACGUCCUCAGGUCUGGAUUUGUUUUCUUAUUUCCAUAUUACAGACUCAGGCUCACUAUCUUCCUAACAUUUUUUCAGUGACUCUCUGUAGCGCUGAUUCCCAAACCACAGUCUGGAACUGGGCAGCAUUUGGCAACCAGUGUCAGGAACCACCAUUAAGAGAAAAUACUAAAUUUGUUUCUUUUGGAUGGCCUGUAAGAAAGUCUGAGAGUUCACAGUGUUCUUGUGGUGGAAACCGCUGCUUUUGGUAUUGUUUAAUACAUAUUAAAACAUAAACUAUCACAGGAAGUGAUCAACUUACAGCACACAAGGUCUGUGGUUAACCUUUGAACAUUAGCUGUAAUGCUAUCUUAAAAGCUGCCUGAUUACAAAGCAGACUUCUUUUCUUCACAUGCUUUAUUGCAUUUAUAUUGCCUAUACUGACUACUAACAACAUUGCAGCUGGAGUCGCCAGUCCAGCUGGUGAACGAUCACUCCUCAAAUGUAAACCAAAUAUUCUUUAACUUAUUCUUUCCCAAUUGAUAGGAACCAUGUCUGCAAUCUUAGGUACUGUCUGCAAUAAUGUGGCAAAUCUCCAGCAGAUCCUUCCAGGUAGCCUAAAUUCAAGGGUACUGCACAUUGUAUAAACUAGUGUCUACCCACUAAAAGGUAUUGGAGAAAGAAGUCUAUAGCUCAAACCAAAAGCCUGUACCCUUCACUAGUGACAAUUAUCUAGUCAGGGUGUGGGAGAGAGAGACUCUAGUCCUUAAGUGACAUCAGUAAAGUGCCUUUAUUUCCAUAGAAGUAGCUUUUUUUUUUGACUGCAAGUGUUUUUGUUCAGCUCUAGUUUGUAAGUUGGCUUCAACUGACUAGGCCACACCACGGCCACAAUAAGCAGCCCCUUACUACCCCUGCCACUUGCAUCACCGUGUCCUCCUCUGUGUCAGUAGCUCACCAGUCAUGGGGAUGACAACACCCCAUGUGUGUUUGCAGCAAAUGGCAGACUGAAAAAUCCUCUCUAGUAGGAGACAUCAAUCCAAAUACCUGUGAGAGCUCCACUUAACCUGAUGACCAAAGACUGUACCUAAGACUGCACACGAGCCAAAAGUGUUGCCUCUAAUCCAUCAUCGCACUGCAGAAAAAGCAUUCAUGAUGCAUAUACUCAACUGGGCAGACUGGAUUAUCCCAAGACCACUACUGAGAAUUUCAAAUCCACAAGCAAGGAGUCAGUAAGAAUAAAAUGGGUGCCGGAAACUUCAAUAUUAACAUCCAACUUAUAUCCAAGUUACUACAUUGAUCUCCUGAAGCAUGUUUUGAACUAGUAUUGCAAGAGGAAGAUAUUUAACAAAGUAGAAAUAGACCGAGGCUCACCGGCAGAGCAAAGAACCCAGCACUGAAACAGCAGAAGGUUUUGCACAUGUAAACUCUGAUAUGCUGUCAAAAUUCAGCAGGAAAAACUGGCCUUGUGAACAUCAAAUUCACUGUACAAAAUGCUUUGUACUAGCCACUUGUCACUGACACACUGCCUAUCUUGUUUUUGUUAAAUCAAUCUAAGUAAACUUGAGAAAGUACAUCAAAUAAAAGACUGCUCA